rnacentral:rRNA from 1 species
AUUGAACGCUGGCGGCAGGCCUAACACAUGCAAGUCGAGCGGAUGAAGGGAGCUUGCUCCUGGAUUCAGCGGCGGACGGGUGAGUAAUGCCUAGGAAUCUGCCUGGUAGUGGGGGAUAACGUCCGGAAACGGGCGCUAAUACCGCCUACGUCCUGAGGGAGAAAGUGGGGGAUCUUCGGACCUCACGCCAUCAGAUGAGCCUAGGUCGGAUUAGCUAGUUGGUGGGGUAAAGGCCUACCAAGGCGACGAUCCGUAACUGGUCUGAGAGGAUGAUCAGUCACACUGGAACUGAGACACGGUCCAGACUCCUACGGGAGGCAGCAGUGGGGAAUAUUGGACAAUGGGCGAAAGCCUGAUCCAGCCAGGCCGCGUGUGUGAAGAAGGUCUUCGGAUUGUAAAGCACUUUAAGUUGGGAGGAAGGGCAGUAAGUUAAUACCUUGCUGUUUUGACGUUACCAACAGAAUAAGCACCGGCUAACUUCGUG